UACGGAGGGUGCUAACGUUGUUCGGAAUCACUGGGCGUAAAGCGCGUGUAGGCGGCAUAGCAAGUCAGAUGUGAAAGCCCUCGGCUUAACCGAGGAAGUGCAUUUGAAACUGCUAAGCUAGAGUACGGGAGAGGGUUGUAGAAUUCCCGGUGUAGAGGUGAAAUUCGUAGAUAUCGGGAGGAAUACCGGUGGCGAAGGCGGCAGCCUGGACCGAUACUGACGCUGAGACGCGAAAGCGUGGGGAGCAAACAGG
rnacentral:rRNA from 1 species